rnacentral:misc_RNA from 1 species
GAUGAAGAACGUAGCGAAAUGCGAUACUUGGUGUGAAUUGCAGAAUCCCGUGAACCAUCGAGUCUUUGAACGCGAGUUGCGCCCGAAGCCAUUAGGCCGAGGGCACGCCUGCCUGGGUGUCACACACCGUUACCCUCGCGCCAACGUCCAUCGUUGGCCGCGGCGCGGGGCGUGCGCUGACCUCCCGCGAGCAGGGUCUCGUGGUUGGUUGAAAAUCGAGUUCGCGGUCGAGGGUGCCGUGAUGAAAUGGUGGAUGGGCGACGCCCGAGGCCAAUCACGCGCGACUCCGUCCGGCUCGGACUCCUGGACCCCUUCGGCGUCUCCGGACGCUCUUUGGCGAGACCUCAGGUCAGGCGGGGCUACCCGCUGAGUUUAAGCAUAUCAAUAAGCGGAGGA